AGUGAACGCUGGCGGUAGGCCUAACACAUGCAAGUCGAACGGCAGCACAGUAAGAGCUUGCUCUUACGGGUGGCGAGUGGCGGACGGGUGAGGAAUACAUCGGACUCUACUUUUUCGUGGGGGAUAACGUAGGGAAACUUACGCUAAUACCGCAUACGACCUACGGGUGAAAGCAGGGGAUCUUCGGACCUUGCGCGAUUGAAUGAGCCGAUGUCGGAUUAGCUAGUUGGCGGGGUAAAGGCCCACCAAGGCGACGAUCCGUAGCUGGUCUGAGAGGAUGAUCGGCCACACUGGAGCUGAGACACGGUCCAGGCUACUACGGGAGGCAGCAGUGGGGAAUAUUGGACAAUGGGCGCAAGCCUGAUCCAGCCAUACCGCGUGGGUGGAGAAGGCCUUCGGGUUGUAAAGCCCUUUUGUUGGGAAAGAAAAGCAGCAGGUUAAUACGACGCUGUUCUGACGGUACCCAAAGAAUAAGCACCGGCUAACUUCGUG
rnacentral:rRNA from 1 species